AAGCAUUUGAACCGGCCAACGUUGGAUGAAACUUCUGAAGAGGAAUCUAUAAUCGAACAAAAAACUCAAGAAAUAACUAAAUUGAUUCAAAGAACGCAAAAGAAAAUAAAAGAAAUCGAAGGUUAUUCUAAAAAGACCAGUUCUGUACAAGAAGCGGAAAUUUGCAAGAACGUGAUGCUUUCUUUGGCUUAUGAACUUCAGCAGAUUUCAUAUUCGUUCCGUAAUACUCAGUCUUCUUACUUGAAACGCAAAGAUCCGAGGGAGGGAAGAAAAGAAACGGUUUUACUUUACUGAUGAUUUUUUUACUUCCAAUGAAUCAGUUAUUGAUCUUCCACAGGAGAAGGAGUUUUCUGAAGCUCAACUUCUGGAAAUCCAGCAUAAUAAAGAUCAUAUUUUAUUACGCGAUCGAGAAAUCGCUAAAAUUGCGGCAUCAAUAAAAAGUUUAGGAGAAAUUUUUAACGAUCUUUCAAAUAUGA